GACGUACUUGUACUGAUUGAGUAUUUUAACACGAAGUGAGUGGCGAACGGGUGAGUAACACGUGGGUAACCUGCCCAGAAGUAGGGGAUAACACCUGGAAACAGAUGCUAAUACCGUAUAACAGAGAAAACCGCAUGGUUUUCUUUUAAAAGAUGGCUCUGCUAUCACUUCUGGAUGGACCCGCGGCGUAUUAGCUAGUUGGUGAGGUAAAGGCUCACCAAGGCAGUGAUACGUAGCCGACCUGAGAGGGUAAUCGGCCACAUUGGGACUGAGACACGGCCCAGACUCCUACGGGAGGCAGCAGUAGGGAAUCUUCCACAAUGGACGCAAGUCUGAUGGAGCAACGCCGCGUGAGUGAAGAAGGGUUUCGGCUCGUAAAGCUCUGUUGUUAAAGAAGAACGUGGGUAAGAGUAACUGUUUACCCAGUGACGGUAUUUAACCAGAAAGCCACGGCUAACUACGUGCCAGCAGCCGCGGUAAUACGUAGGUGGCAAGCGUUAUCCGGAUUUAUUGGGCGUAAAGCGAGCGCAGGCGGUCUUUUAAGUCUAAUGUGAAAGCCUUCGGCUCAACCGAAGAAGUGCAUUGGAAACUGGGAGACUUGAGUGCAGAAGAGGACAGUGGAACUCCAUGUGUAGCGGUGAAAUGCGUAGAUAUAU
rnacentral:rRNA from 1 species